GCCUUCGGGAACUGUGAGACAGGUGCUGCAUGGCUGUCGUCAGCUCGUGUUGUGAAAUGUUGGGUUAAGUCCCGCAACGAGCGCAACCCUUAUCCUUUGUUGCCAGCGGUUAGGCCGGGAACUCAAAGGAGACUGCCAGUGAUAAACUGGAGGAAGGUGGGGAUGACGUCAAGUCAUCAUGGCCCUUACGACCAGGGCUACACACGUGCUACAAUGGCAUAUA
rnacentral:rRNA from 1 species